rnacentral:rRNA from 1 species
UGAGGAAUAUUGGUCAAUGGGCGCGAGCCUGAACCAGCCAAGUAGCGUGAAGGAUGAAGGUCCUACGGAUUGUAAACUUCUUUUAUAAGGGAAUAAAGUCACCCACGUGUGGGUGUUUGUAUGUACCUUAUGAAUAAGCAUCGGUUAACUCCGUGCCAGCAGCCGCGGUAAUACGGAGGAUGCGAGCGUUAUCCGGAUUUAUUGGGUUUAAAGGGAGCGUAGACGGGUCGUUAAGUCAGCUGUGAAAGUUUGAGGCUCAACCUUAAAAUUGCAGUUGAUACUGGCGUCCUUGAGUACGGUUGAGGCAGGCGGAAUUCGUGGUGUAGCGGUGAAAUGCUUAGAUAUCACGAAGAACCCCGAUUGCGAAGGCAGCCUGCUAAACCGCCACUGACGUUGAGGCUCGAAAGUGUGGGUAUCAAACAGGAUUAGAUACCCUGGUAGUCCACACGGUAAACGAUGGAUACUCGCUGUUGGCGAUAGACUGUCAGCGGCUUAGCGAAAGCGUUAAGUAUCCCACCUGGGGAGUACGCCGGCAACGGUGAAACUCAAAGGAAUUGACGGGGGCCCGCACAAGCGGAGGAACAUGUGGUUUAAUUCGAUGAUACGCGAGGAACCUUACCCGGGCUUGAAUUGCAGACGAAUUGCUUGGAAACAGGCAAGCCGCAAGGCGUCUGUGAAGGUGCUGCAUGGUUGUCGUCAGCUCGUGCCGUGAGGUGUCGGCUUAAGUGCCAUAACGAGCGCAACCCUCGUGUCCAGUUACUAGCAGGUUAUGCUGAGGACUCUGGACAGACUGCCAUCGUAAGAUGUGAGGAAGGUGGGGAUGACGUCAAAUCAGCACGGCCCUUACGUCCGGGGCUACACACGUGUUACAAUGGGGGGUACAGCAGGCAGCUACCGGGCGACCGGAUGCCAAUCCCGAAAGCCUCUCUCAGUUCGGACUGGAGUCUGCAACCCGACUCCACGAAGCUGGAUUCGCUAGUAAUCGCGCAUCAGCCACGGCGCGGUGAAUACGUUCCC